rnacentral:rRNA from 1 species
UGGGGAAUAUUGCACAAUGGAGGGAACUCUGAUGCAGCGACGCCGCGUGAACGAAGAAGGCUUUCGAGUCGUAAAGUUCUUUUAUAUGGGAAGAUAAUGACGGUACCAUGGGAGGAAGCCCCGGCUAACUACGUGCCAGCAGCCGCGGUAAUACGUAGGGGGCGAGCGUUGUCCGGAAUUACUGGGCGUAAAGGGUUCGCAGGCGGCAUGGCAAGUCCGAUGUAAAAGGCGAAGGCUCAACCUUCGUAAGCAUCGGAAACUGUCAAGCUUGAGUGAAGGAGAGGCAAGUGGAAUUCCUAGUGUAGCGGUGGAAUGCGUAGAUAUUAGGAGGAAUACCGGUGGCGAAGGCGACUUGCUGGACUUCAACUGACGCUGAGGAACGAAAGCGUGGGUAGCAAACAGG